CGGGAGCGACCCCGCAAAGGAGCCUGGGAAUUGUAGUCGGCCGAGAGAUCCGAGGAAGCGCCGGGUCCUGGUCCCUUACCAAGGGAGAAACGGGCUGGCGGAAAAUGGAGCCGCAGCCACCAGCUUUCACACCCCACGGCACACCCCCUCGCCGCGCCCCGGAGCAGGACUGGCUGGGGCACACUCGGAUAGCACGUAAAUCUGUCACUGCUGGUCAUGAACCCAUUUUGACCUUAUCUUGGUGUAUGGCGUUAAGUAUGGAUCAAUGCCUAGUUUCUGCCAUAUUAGUUUCCAAUUUUCCCAGCAAUUUUAUCAAACUAAAUUUCCAGAUUAUCGGUGUUUUACUUGACAUACCCUUGACUUUUGUCUCGCCACUGGACUCUGAUGACUCUGGAGAAGAGUGAGCUCAGAAGAAUGAAGAAGGAUCCUUGGAUUGGAAAGUUCAUAAAAAUGGACAUUGAUACUUCACAUGUGUAGGGAGGUUGUGAGAGAGUCCCCAGCCUCAAGGACAUUCAGGUCAUUAGGCCCAGAUGGAACUGAUUCAGUGAGAUUGAGAAAACUGGCUGAUGGGAUUGCUAAGCCUCCAUCUGAUAUGUGAAAAUGUCACAGAGAACAGGAGAACUGGAACAAGACUGCAAUGGGCAAAGGUGGUCCUUCAAAAAAAAAAAAAAGAACAGGAUGUACCAACUAUUGGCUAUGAGCUUUCCAGCAAAAUCCCUAGCUGUAUUAAGAAAAGGAUGGUUAGUGAGUGAACAUCUGGAAAGGGAAGCCGUGAUCAGAGAGGUAGCCCAAGUCCUGCCAAACGAAGUUUCUUUGUGGGUUGUGAUUAGAUUGGGGAGGAGGGGUGUCCAUGGGAAAGGGGAGCUGGUCCCAGGAGUCCUAUAAUGCCAAUAUGAGCAUAGGUUCAACUGCUCCUGCUCCACCCUAUCACUGUUUCCAGGUUCAUUCCUAAUAAAGCUGCCCUG
rnacentral:lncRNA from 1 species